rnacentral:rRNA from 1 species
GCAGUAGCCACUGGAAUACGAAGGGUGCAAGCGUUAAUCGGAAUUACUGGGCGUAAAGCGCACGUAGGCGGCUUGGUAAGUUAGAGGUGAAAGCCCGGAGCUCAACUCUGGAACUGCCUUUGAUACUGGGUAUCUUGAGUAUGGAAGAGGUUAGUGGAGGGGAGACCGGAAUUCACGGUGGAGCAGUGAAAUGCGUGGAUAUCGUGAGGAACACUAGUGGCGAAGGCGGGUCUCUGGACAGUAUCUGACGCUGAGGCACGAAGGCCAGGGGAGCGAACGGGAUUAGAUACCCCAGUAGUCCC